rnacentral:rRNA from 1 species
GACGAACGCUGGCGGCGUGCUUAACACAUGCAAGUCGAACGGAGUGGCGAACGGGCGAGUAACACGCGGGUGAUCUGCCUUGCACUUCGGGAUAAGCUUGGGAAACUGGGUAUAAUACCGGAUAGUGCAAGAUGAGAUCGCGGCCUAUCAGCUUGUUGGUGGGGUAAUGGCCUACCAAGGCGUCGACGGGUAGGCGGCCUGAGAGGGUGUACGGCCAAAUUUGGACUAGCAUACGGCCCAGACUCGUACGGGAGGCAGCAGUGUGGAAUAUUGCACGAUUGGCGGAAGCCUGAUGCAGGGACGCCGCGUGGGGGAUGAAGGCCUUCGGGUUGUAAACUCCUUUCGGCAGUAACGCGGUACCUGAAUAAGAAGCACCGGCUAACUACGUGCCAGCAGCCGCGGUAAUAC